rnacentral:rRNA from 1 species
UACGGAGGGUGCGAGCGUUGUCCGGAAUCAUUGGGCGUAAAGGGCGCGUAGGUGGCCCGGUCAGUCUUUGGUGAAAGCGCGGGGCUCAACCCUGCGUCGGCCAGGGAUACUGCCGCGGCUCGAGCACUGUAGAGGCAGGCGGAAUUCCGGGUGUAGCGGUGGAAUGCGCAGAUAUCAGGAAGAACACCCGUGGCGAAGGCGGCUCUCUGGGACGGUACUGACGCUGAGGCGCGAAAGCGUGGGGAGCAAACAGG